rnacentral:rRNA from 1 species
UACGAAGGGGGCUAGCGUUGCUCGGAAUCACUGGGCGUAAAGCGCACGUAGGCGGCUUGUUAAGUCAGGGGUGAAAUCCUGGAGCUCAACUCCAGAACUGCCUUUGAUACUGGCGAGCUUGAGUCCGGGAGAGGUGAGUGGAACUGCGAGUGUAGAGGUGAAAUUCGUAGAUAUUCGCAAGAACACCAGUGGCGAAGGCGGGUCUCUGGGCCGAUACUGACGCUGAGGAGCGAAAGCGUGGGGAGCGAACAGG